rnacentral:rRNA from 1 species
UACGUAGGGUGCGAGCGUUAAUCGGAUUUACUGGGCGUAAAGGGCGGGUAGGCGGCCACCGCAAGUCAGUUGUGAAAUCUCUGGGCUUAACCCAGAAAGGUCAACUGAUACUGCGGGGCUAGAGUGCAGAAGGGGCAACUGGAAUUCUCGGUGUAGCGGUGAAAUGCGUAGAUAUCGAGAGGAACACCUGCGGCGAAGGCGGGUUGCUGGGCUGACACUGACGCUGAACUGCGAAAGCUAGGGGAGCGAACGGG